GACGAACGCUGGCGGCGUGCUUAACACAUGCAAGUCGAACGGUGAAAGCGGAGCUUGCUCCGCUGGAUCAGUGGCGAACGGGUGGGUAACACGUGGGCAACCUGCCCUUCACUUCGGGAUAACUCCGGGAAACCGGGGCUAAUACCGGAUAUGACCUCUGCGGGCAUCCGCGGAGGUGGAAAGUUUUUCGGUGAAGGAUGGGCCCGCGGCCUAUCAGCUUGUUGGUGAGGUAGUGGCUCACCAAGGCGACGGCGGGUAGCCGGCCUGAGAGGGCGAGCGGCCACACUGGGACUGAGACACGGCCCAGGCUCCUACGGGAGGCAGCAGUGGGGAAUAUUGCGCAAUGGGCGAAAGCCUGACGCAGCAACGCCGCGUGCGGGAUGACGGCCUUCGGAUUGUAAACCGCUUUCAGCAGGGAAGAAGCGAAAGUGACGGUACCUAACCAGAAAGCCACGGCUAACUACGUGCCAGCCGCCGCGGUAA
rnacentral:rRNA from 1 species